AUUGAACGCUGGCGGCAGGCCUAACACAUGCAAGUCGAACGAGUGGCGGACGGGUGAGUACUGUCUGGGAAACUGCCUGAUGGAGGGGGAUAACUACUGGAAACGGUAGCUAAUACCGCAUACCAUCGGAUGUGCCCAGAUGGGAUUAGCUAGUAGGUGGGGUAAAGGCUCACCUAGGCGACGAUCCCUAGCUGGUCUGAGAGGAUGACCUGCCAGACUGGAACUGAGACACGGUCCAGACGCCUACGGGAGGCAGCAGUGGGGAAUAUUGCACAAUGGGCGGAACCCUGAUGCAGCGAUGCAGCGUGUAUGAAGAAGGCCUUCGGGUUGUAAAGUACUUUCAGCGGGGAGGCGUUACCCGCAGAAGAAGCACCGGCUAACUACGUGCCAGCAGCCGCGGUAAUAC
rnacentral:rRNA from 1 species